CCUACGGGAGGCUGCAGUGGGGAAUAUUGGACAAUGGGGGGAACCCUGAUCCAGCGACGCCGCGUGAGUGAAGAAGUAUUUCGGUAUGUAAAGCUCUAUCAGCAGGGAAGAAAGAAAUGACGGUACCUGACUAAGAAGCCCCGGCUAACUACGUGCCCGCAGCCGCGGUACUACGUAGGGGGCAAGCGUUAUCCGGAUUUACUGGGUGUAAAGGGAGCGUAGACGGCGAUGCAAGUCUGAAGUGAAAGGCGGGGGCCCAACCCCCGGACUGCUUUGGAAACUGUAUGGCUGGAGUGCAGGAGAGGUAAGUGGAAUUCCUAGUGUAGCGGUGAAAUGCGUAGAUAUUAGGAGGAACACCAGUGGCGAAGGCGGCUUACUGGACUGUAACUGACGUUGAGGCUCGAAAGCGUGGGGAGCAAACAGGAUUAGAUACCCGAGUAGUC
rnacentral:rRNA from 1 species